rnacentral:rRNA from 1 species
GAUGAACGCUGGCGGCGCGCCUAAUACAUGCAAGUCGAGCGAACAGACGAGGAGCUUGCUCCUCUGACGUUAGCGGCGGACGGGUGAGUAACACGUGGAUAACCUACCUAUAAGACUGGGAUAACUUCGGGACACCGGAGCUAAUACCGGAUAAUAUAUUGAACCGCAUGGUUCAAUAGUGAAAGACGGUUUUGAUGUCACUUAUAGAUGGAUCCGCGCCGCAUUAGCUAGUUGGUAAGGUAACGGCUUACCAAGGCGACGAUGCGUAGCCGACCUGAGAGGGUGAUCGGCCACACUGGAACUUAGACACGGUCCAGACUCCUACGGGAGGCAGCAGUAGGGAAUCUUCCGCAAUGGGCGAAAGCCUGACGGAGCAACGCCGCGUGAGUGAUGAAGGUCUUCGGAUCGUAAAACUCUGUUAUUAGGGAAGAACAAAUGUGUAAGUAACUAUGCACGUCUUGACGGUACCUAAUCAGAAAGCCACGGCUAACUACGUG